UACGUAGGUGGCAAGCGUUGUUCGGAAUUAUUGGGCGUAAAGGGCGCGUAGGCGGCUUGUUAAGUCGGUUGUGAAAGCCCGGGGCUCAACCCCGGAGAGUCGACCGAUACUGGCGAGCUAGAGUACGGAAGAGGUAGCUGGAAUUCCCGGUGUAGCGGUGAAAUGCGUAGAUAUCUGGAGGAACACCGGUGGCGAAGGCGGCGUUCUGGACUGUUUCUGACACUGAAGAACGAAAGCCAGGGGAGCAAACGGG
rnacentral:rRNA from 1 species